UACGUAGGGGGCGAGCGUUGUCCGGAUUUAUUGGGCGUAAAGAGCGUGUAGGCGGCCAGGUAGGUCUGCUGUGAAAACUCGAGGCUCAACCUCGAGACGUCGGCGGAAACCAUCUGGCUAGAGUCCGGAAGAGGAGAGUGGAAUUCCUGGUGUAGCGGUGAAAUGCGCAGAUAUCAGGAGGAACACCAAUUGCGAAGGCAGCUCGCUGGGACGUUUACUGACGCUGAGACGCGAAAGCGUGGGGAGCAAACAGG
rnacentral:rRNA from 1 species